rnacentral:rRNA from 1 species
AGUGAACGCUGGCGGUAGGCCUAACACAUGCAAGUCGAACGGCAGCACAGUAAGAGCUUGCUCUUACGGGUGGCGACUGGCGGACGGGUGAGGAAUACAUCGGAAUCUACUUUUUCGUGGGGGAUAACGUAGGGAAACUUACGCUACUACCGCAUACGACCUACGGGUGAAAGCAGGGGAUCUUCGGACCUUGCCCGAUUGAAUGAGCCGAUGUCGGAUUAGCUAGUUGGCGGGGUAAAGGCCCACCAAGGCGACGAUCCGUAGCUGGUCUGAGAGGAUGAUCAGCCACACUGGAACUGAGACACGGUCCAGACUCCUACGGGAGGCAGCAGUGGGGAAUAUUGGACAAUGGGCGCAAGCCUGAUCCAGCCAUACCGCGUGGGUGAAGAAGGCCUUCGGGUUGUAAAGCCCUUUUGUUGGGAAAGAAAAGCAGCAGGUUAAUACCCCGCUGUUCUGACGGUACCCAAAGAAUAAGCACCGGCUAACUUCGUG